UGGUGAUGAAAUGCGAUGGUCAUUGGUAGGCCUACGUUCGUUAUCAGUAUGUUAAAUCUUAAAUGUGACCUGGUGGCAUUAUUGCGUGAAUGCUUUGCAAACUUAAUGAAUAAGGUCCUCAAGUGUGUAGAGUUUCGCUGAGUUCGUUGUUUAUUUAAAUUUUCCUCAGCAUAACUGUACAGCUGACACCGCUGCCUUCUGUAUCAUAACAAAGCCUGUCACUUCCACGUUUCGUUCUUUUUAUGUGACCGAAGUCACUGGCUACUGCACCAGAGAGGGCCUCUGCACUCAUUACUGGUCCUAUGAUGCCAUCUAUUGGCGAAAACGUGCAACAGCAUAAUUGAACUAAAAGACAACUUCUGACAGGACAACAAAAAGACAGGGAAUGAGAAUAAGGGAAUAACAAAAAGACAAAAAUGAGGGGUCCACUACACUUGCAUACAAACUGAUUGUGAUGCUGUCACUCAUUUUCUAGUCUAUAUCUUGGACUGAAAAAGGAUUACAUUAUUAUGUUUCAGGUGUUUUGCCCCUGCGGUUGUGAGGAGGAUGCUGUGUAGGUGGCAGCGUGAACGUGUCACACAGACAUUGGCUAAACUACUCGGCUUCUACACUUGCCCUCAGAGUUCACAUAUGGUUAAGUGCACAGGUGUCCAUCCAGGUUCAGACUGAUGCUGGUAACAAGAGGAAAACAUGCUGAUUGCGGAGCGGUCUGAAGACGUGGAGUACACUGCAGCAGGUAUCACAUGACCAAGGACUUGGACAACGUCUCUGCUUACAUCUAUAGUGUAUUACACAACUGAAGAUGUGCACAGUACGCUGCUGCCUGCAUCCUGCCACCACAGAGGAUCCGAUAUGCAGAACCAGCUUCAAAAACCAUUGCAAUUAUGAAACACAGUUAAAUAAAUGCUUA